rnacentral:rRNA from 1 species
GAUGAACGCUGGCGGCAUGCCUUACACAUGCAAGUCGAACGGUAGCAUGUCCUUCGGGAUGAUGACGAGUGGCGAACGGGUGAGUAACACGUGGGUGAUCUGCCCUGCACUUUGGGAUAAGCCUGGGAAACUGGGUCUAAUACCGGAUAGGACUACGCGAUGCAUGUCGUGUGGUGGAAAGCUUUUGCGGUGUGGGAUGGGCCCGCGGCCUAUCAGCUUGUUGGUGGGGUGAUGGCCUACCAAGGCGACGACGGGUAGCCGGCCUGAGAGGGUGUCCGGCCACACUGGGACUGAGAUACGGCCCAGACUCCUACGGGAGGCAGCAGUCGGGAAUAUUGCACAAUGGGCGCAAGCCUGAUGCAGCGACACCGCGUGAGGGAUGACGGCCUUCGGGUUGUAAACCUCUUUCAAUAGGGACGAAGCGCAAGUGACGGUACCUAUAGAAGAAGCACCGGCCAACUACGUGCCAGCAGCCGCGGUAAUAC